rnacentral:tRNA from 1 species
GGUGGCUCAGGGGUAGAGUGCUUGCCUUGCAUGCAUGAGACCCUGGGUUCGAUUUCUCAGCACCA